UGCACCAUACGUUAAAUGAAAGUAAAUGUGCGAUAAAGUAAAUUCAUAAAGUAUGAGGGUUAAUUCCACAUCAUGAGGGUUAAUUACAUCAUACUUUAAAAAAUAAAUGUGCGAUAAAAUAAACGUGUUGGUAUGAGCAUUAAUUCUACUCCAUACUUUUAAAUGAAAAGUAAAUACAGUUGUGGACGAUAAGCCUGAGCCACACUUGUAAAUAAAUAUUGCCGUAUGGGUAAUAAACCUACUCCAUACAAUAAAUAAAAUAGAGGUUAAAGGCAGUUGUGUGGACAAGAAACCCCCGCCACACUUUUAAAUAAAUAAUGUUGUAUGGGUAAUAAACCUACACCAUACCAUAAAUAAAAUAAAUGUGGGGAUAAAACCACCACCUAAUAUAUAUGAAGUAUAUAACAUAUCAUAUAUUGUGGGCAAUAUAACUGCGCUAUUGUUCAAGAUAUAAUAGAUGGGUUUUAAGAUCACACCAUCAUUUUAUUACGAUAAUUUGUGUUACAACGCGAUGGGUAAUGAAAAUUACACCACCAUAAAAUAACAAGAUAGGGUAUAAAAACCGCACCAUUCCAAAUUACAUUACAAAUAAAUAAAUAAAACAAACAUGGAUGAAACAACAUAAAAAUUGUGAUAACACCAAAAAAAAAAGAAAAAAAAAAAAGAAAAAGUUUGCAUGUCGUUGUAGUAGUAAAGUGAGAGGAGACAUAUGACAGAGAGGAGAAAGAGAAAUAACCACAUGAUGUUGAGCUGAGGAAAUCUAAAAAUAGAAGGGAGAGACUAUCAUGCUCAUAACGUGUUAUAAAAAUAAAAUAAUCAAAGUAUGGAAAAUACCACUGAAUAUUGGGAAGUACCACUGUAUAUUAGGAUUUCAAUUCAUUAUGAUUGUUGCAAGACUUGGAAACUUCAUUACAUGGAAACCGCCAAGAAGGACCCACUUAAUGAGAUAUAUAUAUAGGUUUAAUAUUUAUUUUUUCUUUUCCAAAAAUUACAUUGAGCUGCUUUAUAGGUUAAAUAUUUUUGUUUUCGCAAGAAACUCCUAAGAUAGAUAUAUUUUUUUAACUGCCGAUAAAACUCGUGUACUUAUUUGGAUUAAAUUAAUCAACCCAAUUUAUUCAAUCGAUUUUCCAUUUUACAUCAUGAGAGCGACACUUUUGAGCAUCUGUGUAGGGUUUGUUAUGUUAAAUUGUAAAAAC
rnacentral:lncRNA from 1 species